UUAGUGAAUAUUUCUUUAUUUAAACAAUUUAGAUGGAUUUUAAUUGUUUAUAAAGUGAUUUUUUCUCAAUUUCAAGAGAUUUCCAGCAAAAUUCGUUGUUUCAAUGGUACUUUUAAUUAAUUAAAACUCAACAUAUUAACUUUUAACAUUAUCCUCCCCAUUCGACAAGCUUGAAGAACUCCUUGGGGACAAAGAACUUAUUCUUUGGAAUAUCGAAACUGACUUAACUAACAGCGAAUACGUGUUAUAAAUCAACCUCAACUUCAUCAACAAUCACAAUACACUACAAGAAUACUACUGUUUCUGCAUCAAUUUUAAAAGAGCGUAUAUAAUUACAAAAACAACCUCCAAAGCG